AACGAACGCUGGCGGCGUGCCUAACACAUGCAAGUCGAACGAGAAUAUUCGGGGCAACUCGAAUUAGUAAAGUGGCGCACGGGCGAGUAAUACGUAGGUAACCUGCCUAUCGCUGGGGAAAAACUCCGGGAAACCGAAGCUAAUUCCGCAUACGUUCACCAGGCUAUACGUUUGGUGAAGAAAGGUGGCCUCUUCAUGAAAGCUAUCGGCGAUAGAUGGGCCUGCGCACCAUUAGCUGGUUGGUAGGGUAAUGGCCUACCAAGGCAACGGUGGUUAGCUGAUCUGAGAGGAUGAUCAGCCACACUGGAACUGAGACACGGUCCAGACUCCUACGGGAGGCAGCAGUGGGGAAUAUUGCGCAAUGGGCGAAAGCUUGACGCAGCAACGCCGCGUGAGUGAUGAAGGCCUUCGGGUCGUAAAGCUCUGUCAGAGGGAACGAACACUCCCGCAACUAAUAUUUGCGGGAUUUGACGGUACCCUCAGAGGAAGCACCGGCUAACUCCGUGCCAGCAGCCGCCGUAA
rnacentral:rRNA from 1 species